rnacentral:misc_RNA from 1 species
GAUGAAGAACGUAGCGAAAUGCGAUAAGUAAUGUGAAUUGCAGAAUUCAGUGAAUCAUCGAAUCUUUGAACGCACAUUGCGCCCGCCAGUAUUCUGGCGGGCAUGCCUGUCUGAGCGUCAUUACAACCCUCAGGCCCCCGGGCCUGGCGUUGGGGAUCGGCGGAGCCCCCCGUGGGCACACGCCGUCCCCCAAAUGCAGUGGCGGUCCCGCCGCAGCUUCCAUCGCGUAGUAGCUAACACCUCGCGACUGGAGAGCGGCGCGGCCACGCCGUAAAACACCCAACUCUUCUGAAGUUGACCUCGAAUCAGGUAGGAAUACCCGCUGAACUUAAGCAUAUCAAUAAGCGGAGGA